CAAAGUAUCUUCUGCCCACUGACUUGGUUGAAUGGCCGCAGUACCCUGACUGUGCUAAGGUAGCGUGAUUCUUGUUUUCUUAAUUAGAAAUCUGUUCAAAGAAUGAUAUGUAGAAAAUCUAUUGUUUUUGUAUAAAAUGAAGUUAAAUUAUGAGUGAAAAUUCUCAUUAAUUUAUAAAAGACGAGAAGACCCCACAAAACUUAAUUUGAUUUCUUUUUUAAAAGAUUUAAAAUUUAAAUGGGAACUUUAGAGUAUAAUAAUAACUUAUGUGACCUAUUAUUUUAAUAUUUGAGAAGCUACUUUGGGGAUAACAGGGUAAAAUAUUUAGAGAGUUCUUAUCGAUAAAUGUGAUUACUACCUCGAUGUUGGAUUAUCUUUUCA
rnacentral:rRNA from 1 species